GAUUUUUUUUAGAAUUAUCAGAAAUUAUUAUGUGACAGUGUAGGCCCCAUUUUUCUGUGCCUUUUGCGCACGUUACAGAACUCGGCCCAGUAGCGGCCCAUAUUGCCAGCCCGUCUCUCUCCUGAGCGCCACAAGUUUUCACGUAACAUUUCUAAAAUCGCUAAAAAAAGUACAAAGAUGCUGGUGACGCAGGUCAUCCGAGCACUUACCAAUUUCCUACUCCCUCCUUCCGGAAAAAGUUGUCCUCACCUUAGUUCAUUUGUAAGUUUGCGAAAAAACCCUUCCACCUUUAAAACUGUUGCUAAUCGGCCCCCCUGCUUCUUCCUCCUUCCUCCGUCACCCGCCCGCACCGUGGUCGCCCCAGCCACCGCCGGCGGCCGGCACCAGCCGUAGGGCCCAGAGCUCGACGACGGCCAACCUGCACCGGCCACACCGGAGGCUGCUCAAGCUCCUGCUGCUCCGUGGUCAUCGGGAAGAACUGGAGCGAGGCCCUGGCCCCCGAUCCGGCCCCCGCCAGCGAGGCCCUGGCCACGCUCUCCCUCGGCGCCGCUGACCUGCCCGUGGAGUUCGCCGCCGCCGGACACGAGAUCGCCGGGGAGGACGAGUACGAGGGGUACGUGACAGCCGCGUCCAGAGGCGGGAGCAGCACGGCUCGAGGAGGAGGAGGACGGCUACGGCGACGCCGGUCCGCCCAGCCUCAGCAGCAGCGGCUACGCCGGCGAGCAGCGGGAACAGCGUCACCUCCAGUGCCAGCGCCGCCUGCCGCAUCGAGGAGCCCGACCCCGCCCCGCCCCUCCGGCGCCGAGGCUGGGCGUGCGGCAAGAAGCACGCCGACGAGGUCCUGCUCCUUGUGCUGCCGCCAGAGCCCAUAGCUCGUGUUCCUCAGGAAGAAGAAGAAGACUGUGACUUGUGAGAGGCCGUCAGGUACAGCAGUAAACUGAAAAUGUUGAAGCUACAUCAGGAUUAACACUUCGUGAUCAUGGGAGCAGUAGUGCUGGGAGUAGUAGAUUAUCUUCCCAGGAGGAUUAUCACACUGAGGAAUAGUGCACAAUUAUGCUGAUCAAAAUUGAUAGUGGAUUGGCAAUAAUUUACAAGGAGCAAGUGAUGUAGAGCAAAAUUGAAAAGGGGCAAAACUGAUCCUAAAUAAGUGCACAAUUUAGUUUUACUACUACUGUCAACAUUCAGUUUUGACCGCAAGGUUCGAAUAUUUAUUCUGAACAUGCUGCAAGACCGUAAGGCUCUGAGUAAUGACACUAGUCCUUUGUUCAUCAAUUGAAAUAUUAUUAAGACCAGUAAAUCAUCAUUUUCUUCUAAGUAAUGACACAAGUUGUUACCUUCUUCAAGUAAUUAAGGUGGGGGAGUUAUCAGUACAGUAGUUUACACGGGAUGAUCCACUCCUUAUGGUUGGAACAACAUCAGCAUGAAGAUACAGAUCAACUACAGUAGUUUACCACAAAACUAGAGUUACAGUAGUUUACUUGUUUGUUAGGACGAAAACAUCUAAAUUGAGCAUCUACAAAUUCAAGUUGGGGAGGUUGAUGCAUCCAGAAUCAUUUCAAUUUUUUUACAGAUCAUUUCAAAUUUGGAAAGAAGCAUCCAUUUGAAAAAUGCUACUCCAGUCUCCAAUAGCAACACAAAAUAUAUGGAAUUCUAGCUUUACCAAAAAAUUGAGCAUGGCAUCUACAGGUUACAGAAAAAUGAGCAUCUUCUCUGCAUUUAUAAAGCAUUAGGAUAGUGAAAGUAUUACUCACUUUGAUGGAAUUCUAGCUUGUGAUGACCUGACAGUGACAAAUGUUGCAAAUUGAUUGAAAGCACUGUAAUUCAACCAAAAAUCUACUCUGAACAGUGCUUGCAAAUUCAGUAACUUAAACUAAGAUACAAAAAUUUGAGUGAAUACUGCACUGUUUUCAGUGAGCAGUACUCCACUAUUCAGUUUGAUCUGGUAUUAAUCUAAGCUUGAUCUUUUCAUUAUCUCUGAAUUUCAAAAUAGAGUCUACAUACUGCAAAAUUUGGCACUACAUCCAGUUUGGCACUACAUAAACCUCUAAAUUCAGAGCACUACAUCAUCCAGUUUGGCACUACACGCAGCUCUAAAUUCAGACUAAAUCAAAUCUGACAUGCUGGACUACAUCAACUGCAGGAUUCCACUCUAAAUUCAGACUACAUCAACAGCAACCACUUGACCAGGAUUUGGAGUAGUGCAUUGCAAAUCGAACUUGUGCUGCUGCUCCAACGUCGGUUCAGUACAGAAAUAUGUUGUGUUCGAUUGAAGAUUGUCAAUCUUCCUUGUUUAAUUCCUCAAGCCACAGAAUAAGACUAGUCCACACAUACACAAAUUUGACGAAAUUCAGAGCGCAUCAGCAUUGCACUGCACUAUCAAGAAGACGAGGAAGAAAUUCCAAGAGAACGAAGGGAGGAGAAGGGGGGAAAAGGAGACCUUUUCUCCGGCGAGCUCCUUAGUGAGCUCCUCCACUCUGGAGGCGGCACCCAGGAUACCUUUCACCUUCGUGGAUCCCGUCCAGCCGGCGCAGAUGCGCGGCCCCGGCGGGAAGAAGAGAGACCGCUGCGGGGAUCUCCUUCUCGCUGACGACUCCGAGGCUGCAGGUUGGUCGUCGGCGAUCCUGGACCGCAGCCUCGCCCUGCGCCGUCGGCGAGGCCCAGCUGCUCCCUCUUCCGGCCAACGCGGCUGCCUCGUCGUGACCGAGGCGCAGAACAGCCGUGACCAGGAGACAGCUCCGGCAGUUGUCGCAGAGGAGCGGCAAGGGAGUGAAAAGGAACCCACUGUCGAGGAGCUGGUCUACUGGACGGUCAUCUAGUCGUAUCAACCAAAUCCCCGUGGUCUUCCUGUCGUGAUGUCCCAAAUCGCCUGAAGAAGGUUCGAUCUUUUCCCCUUCUCUUCGUGUUCAUUGCAGAGUUUAUUUCAGGCUAUAUGAAUAACUUGCUUUCUCUUGUUUUCCUGUCAAUGUCGGAGCACACACAACCGAAUUAAACUCACUGAUGGCCUUCACGUUGCUGAGUGUUGAGGAGGCAACCAGAAGUGAUUGGAUUACAAGUCAAGAACACCUACCAGGAUGUGCUGGAAGGCCAAGACAGGGCGCUGACUGGUGGGGAUGGCGAGGAGUUCUACUACCUAGUUGUCAUCUACUAGAAUCUUCAAGUUUUGUAGCAAGAGUUCCUCCUCUGGUUGUCUUUCGAUGUGUUUAUGCCAAUUGAUGGGCCCUGUUAGGCUGUUAUUACAGAGUCCGGUUCUUGUGUUCAAGUCGAUAAGUUAGGAUGUAAUCCACUUGUUUGAUAAAUAAAUUGAUCUACUUAAGCUGAGUUGUGAUGUGCACUCACAUCGGGCUACUGUUUUGUGUCC